GAGUAACACGUAUCCAACCUGCCGUCUACUCUUGGCCAGCCUUCUGAAAGGAAGAUUAAUCCAAGAUGGCAUCAUGAGUUCACAUGUCCGCAUGAUUAAAGGUAUUUCCGGUAGACGAUGGGGAUGCGUUCCAUUAGAUAGUAGGCGGGGUAACGGCCCACCUAGUCAACGAUGGAUAGGGGUUCUGAGAGGAAGGUCCCCCACAUUGGAACUGAGACACGGUCCAAACUCCUACGGGAGGCAGCAGUGAGGAAUAUUGGUCAAUGGGCGAUGGCCUGAACCAGCCAAGUAGCGUGAAGGAUGACUGCCCUAUGGGUUGUAAACUUCUUUUAUAAAGGAAUAAAGUCGGGUAUGCAUACCCGUUUGCAUGUACUUUAUGAAUAAGGAUCGGCUAACUCCGUGCCAGCAGCCGCGGUAAUACGGAGGAUCCGAGCGUUAUCCGGAUUUAUUGGGUUUAAAGGGAGCGUAGAUGGAUGUUUAAGUCAGUUGUGAAAGUUUGCG
rnacentral:rRNA from 1 species